rnacentral:rRNA from 1 species
UACGGAGGGGGCUAGCGUUGUUCGGAAUUACUGGGCGUAAAGCGAGUGUAGGCGGUGUGGUAAGUCGGAUGUGAAAGCCCCGGGCUCAACCCGGGAAGUGCACUCGAUACUGCCACGCUAGAGUAUCGGAGAGGUUGGUGGAAUUCUCGGUGUAGAGGUGAAAUUCGUAGAUAUCGAGAGGAACACCGGUGGCGAAGGCGGCCAACUGGACGAAUACUGACGCUGAGACUCGAAAGCGUGGGGAGCAAACAGG